rnacentral:rRNA from 1 species
GAUGAACGCUGGCGGCGUGCCUAAUACAUGCAAGUCGAACGAGGUGCUUUUGUAGCAAUACGAGAGUAUCCUAGUGGCGAACGGGUGAGUAACGCGUUGGUGACCUACCCCAAAGUGUGGAAUAACAGUCCGAAAGGAUUGCUAAUACCGCAUGUGGUUAUCGGGUUUAGAAACUGAUAACUAAAGGAGCAAUUCGCUUUGGGAGGGACCUGCGUCCCAUCAGCUAGUUGGUGAGGUAAUGGCUCACCAAGGCUACGACGGGUAGGGGACCUGAGAGGGUGACCCCCCACAAUGGAACUGAAACACGGUCCAUACACCUACGGGUGGCAGCAGUAGGGAAUAUUGCACAAUGGGCGAAAGCCUGAUGCAGCAACGCCGCGUGCACGAUGAAGGCCUUCGGGUCGUAAAGUGCUUUUCUGGGAGAUGAGAAAGGACAGUAUCCCAGGAAUAAGUCUCGGCUAACUACGUG